CCUACGGGAGGCAGCAGUGAGGAAUAUUGGACAAUGGGCGAAAGCCUGAUCCAGCCAUGCCGCGUGUGUGAAGAAGGUCUUCGGAUUGUAAAGCACUUUAAGUUGGGAGGAAGGGCAGUUACCCAAUACGUGAUUGUUUUGACGUUACCGACAGAAUAAGCACCGGCUAACUCUGUGCCAGCAGCCGCGGUAAU
rnacentral:rRNA from 1 species